UUCCCUUUCUAAAAUGAAAUAUACGGUCAAUAAAUAUACAGAACGUCCCUAUACACAUUACAUUACAGGUUUGUAGCUUAUAGCUCAUAUGGUCUGGCUUAGCCAGCUGUACUCAAUGAGGCUGUACUCUUCUCAAAAAUAUCACACAAUAAUGUCGACCACGUAUAUUUUUAUUUGGUUUAACUAUGCGUGGUGUUUCCACAAAACAAAACAAUAGUGCUUUUAUGACGUCAAAUGCGGAAAAACACUUAAUGAUAAUUUUAUGAAAUUUAUUGACCCGCCAACACUUUGCAUUGUCCUGUGGGACAUCACAUAAAUUGGUUUUCCGCGUUUGACGUCAUAAGAAAGGUCUAUUAUACUUUUUCAGUCGCUAUGCAAACAUGCAAAGAAAUGUAUACCAUGCUGAUACUCUUAUCUUGUCUUAAAAAAACUGUAUGUUCAAAUUUAAAAGAUUAUUUAAGUAUUCUCAUGGAAAAAUAUGCAUUUAAGUAGAAGGUUAUCCAAAAAUGGCUAUUCCCUAAACCCGGUUUGGUCAUGGCAGUCGAAACCGUUUACCUGAUGCCUAGCUCGCCAUCCGCAAGCAAAUAAACGCCUGCUACGCAGGCUACCUGAUGCCUGGUAUGCUUGAUUUAAUAUAUGUGUCGCGAUACAGUUCUGAAAUCAGUGAACUGAUUUGAUGACAACACACAAAAGACAAGAUAGAUCCAUCACGAUCAGCGGCGCCGGAAGCAACGUGAAGUGGUGGGGGUAGUCUUAAGCCCGAGACACAUCAGACGCGAUUCGACAACGCGGCGCGAUUUUUCAGUUUUUGAAAGUUUACAAAACAGCCAAUGAAUUAAAGGAAAUUUUAAAAGAUAUGUAGACCAA